CACAGUGUGAGUAUCUUUAGCUUCCUAUACAUUUUUGAGAGGUUUAUCGGUUUAGCUUUAUAAAAGACAACUUUUCAGUUAGCUGAUUAGCUGUUAUCAAAGCUAACUUUUUGUUUAUCUGUGCCUACC